rnacentral:lncRNA from 1 species
CCCGGUCCUCCACCCAUCUAGUUGGAUCUGUCGGUGCUUUCUUCUUUCGGAUGUGAGUCUCCAUGAAGAGCUCAUCAUGACUCAUCUUUCUCCCCAAUUUUUUUCCUACAAAUAUAAUAAACGUGUUAACGAAAGUUGUAGCUACACUCGCAUUUGAUUUAUUUUCUUUAAUGAACAUACGACAAUGAGCACAUGCCACACAACAUGGAGGAUUCACAACUCAAGCUAUAGGUAAUCACAGCAAACUAUGAGCCAGAAAAUAGUAAAAAAAAGCAUUACCAACACCAAGUGCCAGAAAGAUAAUCACAGCAAACUAUGAGCCAGAAAAUAGAUGGAAGCAGUAGCAAAAACCACAACAUGAACAAAGGUAAUAUAUGUCUUCAUGAACAAUCAAUCAUGAAACCAGUAUACAAAUUGUUAAACCUCUUUCGUAUCAGCUUAUAAAUAGUGCGAAAUUCCCCCACCUCACCCCUGAAUCCUGGGGCGAAAGAAUAAAAAGAGGAAACAAUCAUUGUGAGGAGAAGGGGAAGCUUCAUCCAAUUAAGUAUACUAAAAGAAUGUUCAGUUUAAAACAGAUAAGAGUUGUCAUGUAUCAGCAUGUAAAUUUUUGUCCCUUCUUUCCUUAUAUUAUGAAUUAAAUCCUUGUGUUUAUACUAUUACUUGAAGUUGACAGACCACAGAGAACUUUGUCCAACUGUUCACAGAUCAACCAGCCAACAAAUUAAUAUGUUCUCAAAUAUUUUGGAGAGGAAUUGUAACGUCACUAAUCAUAACACGCUCAAAAUUACUAUUCUGUAAGUAAAUCACAAUUUCACAUAUGUUGGUCGACUAACUUUUAGGUUUUGACUAAUCUGCUCAUAAUUGAACUGUUAAGGUAAAGGAAUGAUUUUAAAAAAGCAUGUUAAUUGCAAGAAGGCCAGAACAGACCCCAACAACGAAGAAAUUCAUGCAGCAGCAGUACAUAUUCCGAAAGAAGUAGACUUUAACUCUGUAAGUGAUAUCUUGCCCUUGCGUUAAAUAGUCAUGAACUUUUCCUACUAAUCAGACUUGUUGCUCUCUUCAAAAUGCAGGCAACCUUAUCUGAUAUCAUCCGGAAACUAGGUAUGUCUUAGGAAACACUUUGUUAUUCUAACACUAAUGUUCUCUUUUAUUUGGUGAUCACAUAAUUGGGGUUCAUUUCAGGUAGCCAUUUCGGUGUAGAUUUGAUGCAUAUUGCUUUUUUAUUUGGUGAUCACAUAAUUAGGGUUCAUCUCAGGUAGCCAUUUCGGUGUAGAUUUGAUGCAUAAAAAAGCAGAGGUGAAGGCUAUAAUCACUGAUGUAAUAAAUAACAUGAGUGACGAAGAAGGGGAUGACCCUGAGGCUGGGGAUGAUGAAGAAAAAAAUGAAGGUGAUGAUAGUGAUGCUUAAUUUAUGAGUAAAGUAGAAGGAUAUAUGGUACCAAAUAACGCAAAUUUAAGAUGCACAAUCUCAGAGGCAGAUGUCUCAGGAACUCAUAAUAUUAAUAUUGGGAGAUAUAUAAAUAUAAUUUGAUAAAAUAGACCGAAAUAUUUUAAGGAAUUACCAGAUGUCUCCUUGUAUCCCCCAUGCUCCUUGAACCAAGACAUUGCAAGGAGCCGCCCCUCUCAGAUGCUCGGGCCUUCUUGACAUGUUCACUCUGCUUCUUGAAUUUGUCGGUGGUCCAAUACCUCUCUAGCUCUACCCAUACAUCCGGUAGAACGCAUGAAGGCUUCUUUUUAAGCUUUCGAGCGGAGCUAAAGGAAUCAGAGAGUCUCUUACGCAAUUUGUACUCCCAAUUUUUAUAAAUUUCACGGUUAUACUGGUCCUUCCAGGAACACUUAGUCUGCAAAUAAAGUAUGUAACAUUAGAUGAAAAUAUUAUUAAUAUAACGCUUUAAUAAAUAAGAAUUGUAGUUAUAUUGGUCUUUCCAGGAACACUUAGUCUGCGAAUAAAGUAAGUAACAUUAGUUGAAAAUAUUAUUAAUAUAAUGCUUAAAUAAAUAAGAAUUGUAUUAAAACCUUAAAUUGGUUGAACAUCUGUCGCACGAGACUUUAUGGAAAGUCACUCCAAGUCGGAUAGGGUGUCAAGUACAACGUGCCAAGUAUAUCAGUGAUUAUCUUGUAACCAUCCUAUUUAGAAUAAACCGGGCAGCCUUCUAUUUUCAUAGUGCCAUCUCAUAUGAGGAGAAGAACUCAUCGAUGUAUACAACCUCUUUAAUAUAGGACUAAGUGGUAAGUAAUGCAUUGACUUCACAGCAGCCUUCUUCCCGCUGGAAAACCGCUUAAAACGAGGUUUUUCACAAAAUUUACACCUUUCUAAAUCUGCAUCACCCUUAUUAAACAACAUGCAACCAUCUUCACAACAAUCAAUUCUCAUAGACGAGAGUCCUAAUUUAGAAACCAAUCUUUUAGCCUUAUAAAAAUCUUCGGGUAUGUUGAAAGUUGGAUCAACUAGUUCACUCAUAAGGCCAAUGAAAGAAUCCAUUCCUGCUUGAGAAAUAUUGGUAUCUGAUUUGAUACUUAAUAAUCUAACUGCAACAGACAACUGAGAGUGCAUACUCCCUUGUUUUAGUGGAUGACUAGCAGCUUCUAACUGUUCAUAAAAAUAUUUUGCUUCUUCAUUAGGAGGUUGUUCAACACUUUCGUUGGUUUCAAAUUAGAAGUGCAUCCCAAGAGCAUCAGCAACAAUUUCAUCGUAUCUCGGAUGUUGAAUGGUAUUCCCCACCGACCUACUACUUUCACCAACAACUACAUUAUGAAAUACACCAUCAGUACCAUCAAUCUCUCCAUGACUAGUCCACACAAAAUAAUUAUCCAUAAACACUUUUUGAUAAAGAUGAAUCUUAACAUCCGCCGUUUCAAAAUAAUGCAAACACUUGCACUUUACACAAGGACAGCUAAUCAAUCGUCCAAUUCGAAACGGUUCAAGUGACAUUGCAUGCGUAAUAAAUUCCUCAACCACUUCUAUAAAUUCCUCCCUCAAAAACCGACGAUUAUGAUAAUUCCUAUUAUACAUCCAACUACGAGAUUCUAUCUACAUAAAGAACAAAUAAAUUAUAUUAAUCAUAGUUAAUUGUGAUUGCAGCAGUAUAUAGUUCAUGUGUAUUGCAGCAGCAAUACACAUGAACUAUAUACUCCGUGUGCAUUUCAUAUACUAUACUAAAAGUAGAACAACCCAAACAAUUAUGAACUAAUUAAUUGGUCAAGUGAGUAAGUCCCUGCCAAAUAUGCUGCUGCAAUACACAUGAACUAUAUACUCCGUAUGCAUUUCAUAUACUAUAUUAAAAGUAGAACAACCCAAAUAAUUAUGAACUAAUUAAUUGGUCAAGUGAGUAAGUCCCUGCCAAAUAUGCUAAGAUAUUAUAUCAAUCCACCACUUAUAUUGUCUUACAAAAUAGUUAAAUGAAAUACAAACUUAAAGUAAAGUCCAAGAAAAUUAUAUAAACUUUUAGGUUAAGAGCAAUGAGAAAGAACGGAAAAUAUAGUAUACGCUAAUGCAAUAUCUAGCUAGUUGAAACUCUAUCUAACAUCACCAUUGAUGUUCCUAAAAGGUACAUGCACUCAACAAUUGUAUUUUAAACGGCGAACUUUAUCUAGCAUCACCAUUGAUGUUCCUUAAAGGUACAUGCACUCAACAAUUGUAUUUUAAACGGCCCUAAAGGCCUGCUACGAAUAUUAAUCAAUUUUAUAUCUAAUAACACGAGGCCCAUGCAUUUGUCAUUUUCAUUUAGCACGACGCACCUUGAUUUAUUUCAAAAGAUUGUACUUAACUAAAGCAAACUACAUAUGUUCAUUAUUUUCCACCAAACUGAAUUGCGAUGGCUUGUGAAGUUCAAAGAUUCAUGGAAUACGCAAUUGGAUAAGCAUGACUUUGCUGAUUACAACAACAACAACAACAACAACAACAACCCAGUAAUGUCCCACAAAGUGGGGUCUGGGGAGGGUAAUAUGUAGACGAGCCUUACCCCUACCCGAAAGGGUAGAGAGGCUGCUUCCAAUCGACCCUCGGCGCAUAGGAUAGAAUGAAAAGCUGCAUUGGAACAAAGACAGAAUUAGGUACCAAAGCAUGACAAAAAAUGACUUUGCUGAUUAUUCAACAAAAUUUCUGAUGGAUCAUUACUAAGAGAAAAGAUAUGUCUGCUUCUGGAAAUUGGCCUUUAACUUGAGCAACUGUAUAAGCUUUAUAUUCACACACAAUCAUCUAAAAAUAAACCGGAAGUAAUCUUGAGCUUCACGUUUGAACACAAUGUAUAUAAAUCUACUCAACCAAUGACAAAGACCUAUAAACUUGAGGUAUUACCACAGUCAAUUAAUCCUCUUCAAUCAACGAGAAAAACGCAGGCACAAUUCUGUUAAACAGAAAAUUGGACUACCAUUAAUUCUGUUAAACAGAAAUCACAAUGGAACAUAAAUCAGCAGUGACAGUGAUAGAGUUCAGCCGUAACAACAAUAGAAUUCAACCGUGAAGAACAGAUAAUUUUAUUCCAGCAACGAUCACUGACGGACAAACAUGAUUUACUAGAUCUAUAAUGGAAACAAAAUCGAGAAUUAGAGAAUACCUCGAAAUGCCUAAAUUGACGGAGAAAACGAAUGAGAAACUAUACUUAAUUCAAUGCAAUGAGCAGCAGAGUUACAGCUCCAAAAUGCCUUAGAAGAAAAUGAUUUACCAGUAAGAGCAGAAUAUAUGGUAGGAAGAAAUCACAGCUGCGCCGCUCUCUCUUCCAAGCCUGUAUCUUCUGUGUAUAGGCGUAUAUGUGUGUAAAGAAGAAGCCAAGGUUGCGCUUCAGGCAA